rnacentral:lncRNA from 1 species
AACUUGAUAUAAUACAGAGAUCAAAGGACCAUGGAGAAACCCAGGCCGAAGAGACUUAUCUAGAGCACAGCUCUCCAUGUUAGGCUCAGGGAACAUUGCAUAAGAGAGGCCUGAAAGAUUACAAGAUCCAGAAUACUAGAAGUCUGCUGGGAAAGCAUUUGUGCUAGGAAUGGCUGCAUAAACAAGAUCAGGAACAAUCAUAAUAUCAAUGGACAUGUUAAUGUGGAAGGGGGAAUUUUCAGGGAGUCAUCACUAGACAAAGGUGACUAUUGAUGCUGACAUAGAGAGACUUAGACUCUCCCAAUGAUGAGCCUCCUCUUAGCUUAUAACAUGCAAAGUGGCCAGCCCUGAGACUAUAUACACUCAAACAACAAACAAACAAACAAACAAAAAACCAAACUGACUAAACAGGUUGUAUUUAUAUAUUUGUGUGCGGUGUGUGUGUGUGUGUGUGUGUGUGUAAAAAACAAUAAUAAUUAAAGGAAAAGAAGCUAUCAAUUUGAGAGUCAGGGAACACAAGAAGCGUAUGUGUGGAGGGUGCCUGGAAGAGGCUGGAGGGAAAAAAGGGAAAGAUACCUAACUCUAUUUUAAUUAAAAUGUAUUAAAAUAAAUGAAAAAUUGAUUUAUAACUUCACUAUUUGAUUUAUAAAUUUAUCAUUUGCCUGUUUUUUUAAUUAGAUAUUUUCUUUAUUUACAUUUCAAAUGUUAUACCCUUUCUUGGUUUCCCCCCUGAAAACCCCUUAUCCCCCUGACUUUUUUUCUGGAAAAUAUCUACUGUAUCAAGCAUAUACAAGUAAGAAAACAAUCCCAUGGCCUGGAAAUUUUUAAAAAAAUCAUUUUAUGGAAAAAUGUUAAGAAAUUCAGCAAUUAAAAGAUUCAGUAGCUAUCAACAGUGUUCCAAAAGCUAUUGAAAUCUCUCUCUCUUUUGAAAUCUUUAAAUUAUUGUGCAUUGUUUGUAGCAAAUGGAUUUAAUUAUAAUCUUUUCAUCCAGUAGGUAAGAUAUUUUGAUGAUUUCCCCUUUGUAGUGACCACACUUAUUCCUUCCUUUGCAGACUCGUUCAUUUUCUCUAAUUGUUUCCUUUCUUCUCAUUCCACAAGUGAAAGAAACAUGAAAUACUGGUUUCUCUGAGUCUGUUUUAUUUUGCUUAACAUGAUCAUCACUAGCUUCAACUAUUUUCCUGGAAAAGAUAGGAUUUUUUCUUUUUAAUGUGCCCCAAAUAAUCUAUUGGGACUAUAUGCCACAUUGUUUAAUUCCAUUCACAUACUGCUGGGCACUGGG